ACAUCAGUGUUAAAGCAAUAAGAGGAAUGGCUGCUGAAGUGAAUGGCAGCUCUGCUCCUGCAAAAGAAGAAGAAGAGCCUAUGGACGUCUCAGCGGCACACACCGAAAACUACCAGACUCUCAUUGAUGCUGGACUUCCCCAGAAAGUAGCUGAGAGCUUGGACAACAUCUUCCAGACAGGUUUGGUGGCCUAUGCUGACCUUGAUGAGAGGGCGAUCGAUGCUCUGCGUGAGUUUAAUGAAGAAGGAGCUCUGUCUGUACUGCAGCAGUUUAAAGAGAGUGACUUGUCUCAUGUCCAGAAUAAGAGUGCCUUCCUGUGUGGUGUCAUGAAGACCUACAGACAGCGGGAAAAACAAGGCAGCAAAAUACAGGAAUCCACAAAAGGCCCAGACGAGACAAAGAUAAAGGCUUUGCUGGAGAGGACAGGAUAUACCCUGGAUGUCACUACAGGCCAGAGGAAAUAUGGUGGCCCACCCCCAGAGACAGUCUUCUCAGGCACACAGCCUGGAAUUGGCACUGAGGUGUUUGUGGGAAAAAUUCCUCGGGAUUUGUAUGAAGAUGAGCUGGUUCCACUGUUUGAGAAGGCGGGACCUAUAUGGGACCUGAGGUUAAUGAUGGACCCGCUGUCCGGACAGAACCGUGGUUAUGCGUUCAUCACCUUCUGUAGCAAAGAUGCUGCACAGGAGGCGGUCAAACUGUGUGAUAAUUAUGAGAUCAGACCAGGGAAGUAUUUGGGUGUUUGCAUUUCUGUAGCCAACAACCGACUCUUUGUGGGCUCCAUUCCAAAGAACAAGACCAGGGAAAGCAUCCUGGAAGACUUUGGCAAAGUGACAGAGGGUCUACAGGAAGUUAUUCUGUACACACAAGCUGACGACAAGAAGAAGAACCGAGGUUUCUGCUUUUUAGAGUAUGAGGACCACAAGUCAGCAGCACAGGCCCGCCGUCGCCUCAUGAGCGGCAAAAUUAAGGUGUGGGGAAACCCUGUAACAGUGGAGUGGGCCGACCCGGUUGCUGAACCUGACCCUGAGGUCAUGGCCAAGGUGAAGGUGCUGUUUGUUCGUAAGCUAGCCACUUCUGUCACAGAGGAGCUCCUAGAGAAGACAUUCUCACAGUUUGGGAAACUAGAACGUGUUAAGAAACUGAAAGACUAUGCCUUCGUUCACUUUGAGGAGCGGGACGCUGCUGUUAAGGCCAUGGAAGAGAUGAAUGGGAAAGAGCUUGGGGGAGAAGAGAUUGAGAUUGUCCUUGCAAAGCCUCCAGACAAGAAGAGGAAAGAACGGCAAGCUGCCCGACAGACCAGCAGAAAUACAGGAUAUGACGAUUAUUACUACUACCCCCCACCUCGCAUGCCACCCCCAGGCCGUGGCCGCGGCCGAGGUGGUCGUGGCGGCUAUUCUUACCCACCCGAUUACUACGGCUAUGAAGACUACUAUGAUGACUACUACGGUUAUGAUUACCAUGACUAUCGUGGUGGCUACGACGAUCCCUAUUAUGGCUAUGAAGAAGUGUAUCCAAUAAGGGGACGUGGCAACCGUGGGAGCCGUGGAGCCCCUCCCCCACCCAGAGCACGCGGGGUUCCCCCGGCUCGCGGUAGAGGUGGCUAUGCUCCGAGGGGAGGUGCUCCCAUGGGUGCAGGCCGUGGAGGACGUGGAGGGGGACGAGGUGGCCCUUUCCAGUCACCCAGGGGUGGACGUGGCACCAGAGGUGCCCGUGGGAACCGUGGUGGCAAUGUGGGUGGUAAGAGAAAGGCAGACGUGUUUAACCAACCGGAUUCAAAACGACGCCAGACAACCAAUCAGCAGAACUGGGGGUCGCAGCCAAUCGCUCAGCAGCCACUACAGCAAGGGGGUGACUACUCCAGCAACUACUACAGCAAUGACACCCUGGAGUUCUCCCAGGAUUCUUAUGGGCAGCAGUGGAAGUAGACGACACACACAUCACCACCCCCCCAAAAAAAAAGAGUAUGUCAGUGACACAAUAAGGACACGCCCCAGAAUUGGCUUCACAAAUCCUGAUUGGCUGAAAGUAUCGGCGCGAGAGAGAGAGCCGUUGCUAGCUUGAGGAACACACCAGAACUGUGUUCUUCUUCAGCAGGGGGUGAGCUGGUCUUUCACACUCCUCUCUCUCUCUCUCUCUCUCUCUGUCUGUCUGUCUGUCAGUCUCUCUCUCUCUCUUUCUUUCUCACUCUGUCUCUCUCUAGUAAUAAUUGGCCAUCCCAAAUACUGAUUAGUUUACAUUUCUACAUUUAUUUCAAGUAAUCAGCUAUAAUCAUCCUCCGAAGCUUAUGACUGCUCUCUAGAAACACACAAACGAAUAGUACUUUGCUAAAAGUCCAUAGAAUUCUGGUGCUACUAGUCAUCUCAUGUGAUUUUAUUUAAUUCUAUGUAACUUCCUCUGCAUAUAAAAUUUCACAUUGCAAUUAUUGAUAUCCUAAAGUCUAAAAAAAGAAGAGCUUGUUUCCACCAUUUCCACAGAAAGGCGAAAUAAAUAAAGCUGGACGAUCAGUCUGCAGUGACAAUCACGAAAAUUCAGCUGGAUGGUGGAUUUUUAGGAGUCUGCAUUAAGAUGCAGUGAAUACAUCCAUUUCUCCUCCACCAUGUCUUAUAUCCACGUCGGCUGACCAUUUUCUGUUGAUCUGCUGCUCAGUGAGUUUGAACACAUCCAAUUUCAGACCGACAAUAUUUCAUCUCUUUCUAAUUUUCAUCACCAUUAAAAUGCUUGUGUCAAUAACAAACAAACCGACGUGAACAAUACGAUUGUUUAAUGUUAGCCGAGUCAUUUGAUAUUAAUGAACUCACUAAAAACAUUCUUCAUUUUCCUAUAAUGAACAUCUUAUUACCUGUAUAAAUGAGGUGAAUAUAAGGCAGCAAAUAGCAGUAUUGGGGAAAUUAUGUAUUUUAAUACAUGUGCCCAAACACACACUCACACUUGACACACAUUUAUUUCUAUGUUUGUUUUUUGUCUUGUUUUUAAUAUAAUGAAUGUGGUAAUUAUUUAAAAAAAAAAAAAAAAAAUAAGCUUGUAAAUACGAGUGAAGCUCAAGGGGCAAAAAAAUAAAUCUAGAGAUGGCUUGUUUCAUUAAUGUCCAGUACAAUUGGAAACACUUCAGUCAUGCAGCUGAAUAUAAGCAGUCAGUUUUAAGUGUGUAUUCAACACAACCACAUUUUAACAUAGAUUAAUAUUGUGUGUUUUGUUCCUGGGAUAUUUCUUGCCUUUGUACAUAAAGAGACGGAUCUUAAAACAUCACUCUCACACAAUCGUCUUAAUAUCUCUGAGGACUGGUUAUGGAAACGGUGCACUGAUGCAUGUAGAACAGUGAGAUCUAAUGUAGCAUUGGACAAAUCUAUCGCAACAUUAGUACAAUUAUAAACCAUGCAUUAUUUUACACCAUGCUGUUAGUGUACAGUUAAAGGUUUAGUGAAAAUAAUUAAGCUUAAUUAACAACUAUAACAUGUCGAAACUUUCCAAUAUUCAUGUGUUAACUUUUUUUUGUGAGUCUUAAAAAAAAAAAAAAAACAUGUAUUCAUAAUAAACAAAGCUGACUGCUGUUGUUAAUAAUUACAGUUAUGAUAAUAACAGUUACAGAUUGUCCAGAAAAUUGUCUAGAGUCAUCCAACAAUGGAGCAUGUCGUGUGCAGCGCCUGUCCACUGUAUAUCAGGAGCUGUAGGUGUUUCCUGGUGUCUCCCGACCUCAUAGCUGAGAAGACCUCGUUUUUGGGAUAACAGCAGAGAUGUCCUGUAACGGGUAUCAGCCGGCCGUGGUGCCGAAGGAAAUGACGAGACUCGUGUUUCAUGGGGACUCGUGGAAGCAGUCGACAGGCAGCAGAAGAAAUCAAGCACACGAGGAGAGCAUGAGACAUGAGUUUCUUUGUAAUGUGACCGUGUCUAUUGUUCAAUGUGCUAAACAAACAGAACGGAAUUAAAUAAUUUAAUUAA